rnacentral:lncRNA from 1 species
UACUUAACAUGAUUGUGAUCAACAACCUUUACUACUUAUGAAUAUAAGUUCAUAAUGAUUAGGUGAAACUCCCUUAUAUCCUAGCAACAAACUUAUGCAUGAAAAUUAAGCGUGCACUCUCAACCAACAUACAUAAAUUAGUUUAAUUCAUAGAGAUAAGUAAAUUAAAUUCACAAUUCAUGAAACGCAAUUGGAAGUAAUCAAAUCAUAUAGCAAGCAUAAACAUGGUUUUGAAUCCCCCCUAGCCAAGGGGGGUUUAGUUCCUCAUACUUGCAAAGCAAAGAUACAUAAAAUUAGACAUUAAAAUUCAAAGAAAGACAACACCUAAAACACUCCAACUUGGCAGCAGGUGCAUCCAAAGUUCCUCUUUCUUCCUUGCUGCGGCAGAGAGGUUUUGGACAGGGUUUGGGUGGUUUUUAUGGUGUAGAAUGGAUGGGGAAUGGUAUGGAAAGGUUUAGGGUUGAUGGGUGGUGUGGCUAGGGGUGAUUUUUGGCUGAAUUUGGAGAGAAUGGUGGUGGAAAACUCACGGCAAAGACAAGGAUCCAAAUCUGUUUUUUUUAUGAAUAUGGGAGGUGGUAUUUAUAGGCUUGAGAGAGGACCACUCCAUUUCCUUUGCAUGUGCAGCUUGUGUGGGUGUGAGCUAUCAUGUUUCCCCUUUACAUUUACACACACAUGCUUCAUCAUUUCAACCACAAAACAUACGCAUUUUCUGCCAUGUUAUCAUUUACAUUUACACACACAUGCUUCAUCAUUUCAACAACCAAACACCCACAUUUUAUGCCCAUGCCGUGUGCUCCAUGUGUUUGCUGCCAUGUUCUUUUCUUUGCCAUGUGUUUGCUGCCAUGUUAUCAUCCUAGCUAUUACACUUGCACACACACAUGUUCUUUGCAUCAUUUCAGCCACAAAACAAGCACAAUUCCUUCCCCUUUGCCGUGCCUUUCUUCCACUUUGCAUGUGGGUGUCUUUGCAUGUGUUUUGUGGUAGAAAUGUUGUGUAAUGAUGAGGGGUUGUUGCUGCAUUUGUGUGAAGGAUGAUUCCAACUCCUCUUUGCAUGUGUGUGCUGCCAUGUUUCAUCCUAGUUGUUACAUCUGCACACACAUCAUUUCAGCCACAAAACAAACACAAUUCCUUCCCAUUGCCGUGAGUUUGAGUUGUCAUUGUUUACCCUUGCAUUUGCACACACACACUUGCACACACAUAUGCCCAAAACGUCCAUCCUCAUGCAUGCAAUCCAUUUCUGCCCAAUUUUGAUCCAAAAUGCACUUUUCUUGCCAACGUUGUUAUUAAGACCUACAAACAUACGAAAAUGACUUUAAACGCUAAAAUAACUAAGGAAACACAACGUAAACACACGAGAACAAGCCAAUUAAGUCGCAUAAAUAUGCUCCUAUCAAAUUCCCCCACACUUAGCUUUUGCUAGU